AAAAACAUAGUAUAACACAAUACAUUUCACUUACACUGAAAAUAUACUUAAACUAUAAGUUGUUUUUA
rnacentral:tRNA from 1 species